GAUGAAGAACGCAGCGAAAUGCGAUAAGUAAUGUGAAUUGCAGAAUUCAGUGAAUCAUCGAAUCUUUGAACGCACAUUGCGCCCCCUGGUAUUCCGGGGGGCAUGCCUGUCCGAGCGUCAUUACAACCCUCAAGCUCAGCUUGGUGUUGGGCCCCGCCGCCCCGGCGGGCCCUAAAGUCAGUGGCGGUGCCGUCCGGCUCCGAGCGUAGUAAUUCUUCUCGCUCUGGAGGUCCGGUCGUGUGCUUGCCAGCAACCCCCAAUUUUUUAAGGUUGACCUCGGAUCAGGUAGGGAUACCCGCUGAACUUAAGCAUAUCAAUAAGCGGAGGA
rnacentral:misc_RNA from 1 species